GGCUUCCCUGGUGGCGCAGUGGUUGAGAGUCUGCCUGCCGAUGCAGGGGACGCGGGUUCGUGCCCCGGUCCGGGAAGAUCCCACAUGCCGCGGAGCAGCUGGGCCCGUGAGCCAUGGCCGCUGAGCCUGUGCGUCCGGAGCCUGUGCUCCGCAAUGGGAGAGGCCACAACAGUGAGAGGCCCGCGUACCGCAAAAAAAAAAAAAAAAAAAAAAAAAAAAAUUAGUU